rnacentral:rRNA from 1 species
GAUGAACGCUGGCGGCGUGCCUAACACAUGCAAGUCGAGCGGAAAUUCCGGAAGUAGUAAUACGGAAGGGAUUUUAGCGGCGGACGGGUGAGUAACACGUGAGUAAUCUGCCUCUUGCAGGGGAAUAACAUUGUGAAAACAGUGCUAAUACCGCAUAACGUCCGACCGGGGCAUCCCGGACGGACCAAAGGAGAAAUCCGGCAGGAGAUGAACUCGCGUCCGAUUAGCUAGUUGGUGGGGUAAAGGCCUACCAAGGCGACGAUCGGUAGCCGAACUGAGAGGUUGAUCGGCCACAUUGGGACUGAGACACGGCCCAGACUCCUACGGGAGGCAG